CCUACGGGCGUCAGCAGUGGGGAAUAUUGGACAAUGGGCGAAAGCCUGAUCCAGCCAUGCCGCGUGUGUGAAGAAGGCCUUCGGGUUGUAAAGCACUUUCAGUGGGGAAGAAAGCCUUGGGGCUAAUACCCUCGAGGAAGGACAUCACCCACAGAAGAAGCACCGGCUAACUCCGUGCCAGCAGCCGCGGUAAUACGGAGGGUGCGAGCGUUAAUCGGAAUUACUGGGCGUAAAGCGCGCGUAGGCGGUCUGAUAAGCCGGUUGUGAAAGCCCCGGGCUCAACCUGGGAACGGCAUCCGGAACUGUCAGGCUAGAGUGCAGGAGAGGAAGGUAGAAUUCCCGGUGUAGCGGUGAAAUGCGUAGAGAUCGGGAGGAAUACCAGUGGCGAAGGCGGCCUUCUGGACUGACACUGACGCUGAGGUGCGAAAGCGUGGGUAGCAAACAGGAUUAGAUACCCGAGUAGUC
rnacentral:rRNA from 1 species